UUUAUACAAUCCUAUUUAGAAUAGAAUAGGAAUAGAAAAUAGUAUCCUACUUGGUAAAGGAUUGUAUUGUAGUGUCUAUAAAUAUAGUCUCAAUGUAAUAAUGUAGACACAACAACAAUUCAAUAAUAUUUUUCUCCUAUAUUUCUCAUAUGGUAUCAGAGCCUCUACAAUGUAAUGGCAGAUACAUUAGAGUAAUCACCUGGGUCGGAGACAAGAAAUCUACUAUUAUUAUUCCAGAACAAUUACAACAGAGGCUGGGGAAUUUUCCCUAGCUGUAAUGUUUGUUCUGUUUGGAUAGAAAGGAAUAGAAGAUGUUUGAUGGGAUUUUAACUCCCAUCUCAGUUCUUAAGGGUAGAGUCCGAGCAACAUAGAUAUAUUAUUAUCCAUAUGAGUCGCAUCUUUCAACUUUGAAUAGUGAAGCUUAUUCUCUUCUCAAUGUACUCUAUCAAGUAGUAAUAUUUUUUUAUAACAAGGAAAUCCCGAGGACUUGUUGGAGCAGAGUUUGAAACUCGAUGUAAAAUGAGUCUGUUCUUCUACCCUUCUCCACUUUAAUACUAGCCUUUUGUGAGUUGCAGGGUUCGAAAGUAUUACAAUUGAAUCAAAAGAAAAAUACAAGCCUCAUAUGACAUUGUUUCUAGAGUAGAACAAGAUCAUAAACAGGAGUAAGAAGGAUCGUUGAGAAGACAAAGAACUACCUCACAAAUCUCCAAGAAGCCUUGGAAAAGAAGGGAAUGACAAGUACCACAAAAAUCCAGGCUCGUAACCUACAAAAAUUUGUAGAAGCAAGAGGUGAGUACCAAACCACACGGUACUCAGCAAGUAAACCUCUAAACACGAGCUAAGGGGAUAGAAUACAAGUACUCAUUACACCCACCGAACCUUCACAACUACAAUCUAGUAUAAAAGCAGCCCAACCUAACAGUUCACAAUUUACAAGCACAUAUCUCAACAACAACAUUCUAACAAUCAUAUAUUCUCAACAACAAGCUCAAUAUUCAUCAAUUACCACCUCCACAACUACAACCUGCUUAGUACCAGCCUAACAUAAGAGUUCACAGUUUACAAAGCAUAUAGCUCAACACAACACUCUAACAAUUUCAUAUCCUCAACAACAACAAUAGUUUCAUAUCCUCAACAACAACACUCUAACAAUUACAUAUCUUCAACAACAAGCUCAAUAUUCAUCAGUCAUAAGUUCCAUAGAAAUGCACUCACAAGAUCAUCAACACACAAGAUCAAGUUCACCAAUAAUAAAGAAGUGCAAUGCAAUGAAAUGCAAUGUCAAGUAUAGUGAUGCAUGUCUGACCUAAUGAUACACACCCGCUGUCUCUCAGUCCGGGACCCAUGGGGGACAUAUCUGUCCAUGCAUCCAU
rnacentral:lncRNA from 1 species